rnacentral:rRNA from 1 species
UACGUAGGCAGCAAGCGUUGUUCGGAGUUACUGGGCGUAAAGGGUGUGUAGGCGGUUGUUUAAGUUUGGGGUGAAAUCUCCCGGCUCAACUGGGAGGGUGCGCCGAAUACUGAAUGACUUCGAGUGCGGGAGAGGAAAGUGGAAUUCCUGGUGUAGCGGUGAAAUGCGUAGAUAUCUGGAGGAACACCGGUGGCGAAGGCGGCAUCCUGGACCAACACUGACGCUGAGGAGCGAAAGCCAGGGGAGCAAACGGG